rnacentral:misc_RNA from 1 species
CACAUCCAACAAUGUUUGCUGGCGUUUAGCCAACGUUGCAGAUACCUUCACUAGAACCAAAUGAUGCAUUGAACGAUAUAACACUAUUAUUUGCAGCGAACGUUAUAUUUAGAGUUAACAAAGUUAAUAAAGUUACAACGCCCAAAGAAGAAAACUGACUAAGUGACAUAAAAUUCGGUAGUGAUCACGUACGAGAAUUCAGCUUUCCAGAUGAAUAUGCGUACGUUUGAUGUACAGUGAAGAUCCAUUGUGAACAUGCUACAUAUAAAAAUCACGUACAGUUACUUCAUCCUCGAGUACAUAAAGGAGUACGAAAGGGAACAAGUCCUACGAGAAGAAAGACCUGUCUUCCUUAAAUAAAAUCUGCUCGCUAUCUUGAAGCUACGUAUGUAUGUUGACCGUGAAGUCCAAUCCUCUGAGUCACCGA